rnacentral:rRNA from 1 species
CUUGAACUCUGGCGGCAGGCCUAACCCAUGCAAGUCGAGCGGAGCGGCGGAAGGGUGAGUAAUGCCUAGGAAUCUGCCUGGUAGUGGGGGAUAACGUCCGGAAACGGGCGCUAAUACCGCAUACUCUCAGAUGAGCCUAGGUCGGAUUAGCUCGUUGGUGUGGUAAAGGCCUACCAAGGCGAAGAUCCGUAACUGGUCUGAGAGGAUGAUCAGUCACAAUGUAAAUGAGACACGUGCCAGACGCCUAAGGGAGGCAGUAGUGGGGAAUAUUGGACAAUGGGCGAAAGCCUGAUCCAGCCAUGCCGCGUGUGUGAAGAAGGUCUUCGGAUUGUAAAGCACUUGAAGUUGGGAGGCGUUACCAACAGAAUAAGCACCGGCUAACUUCGUGCCAGCAGCCGCGGUAAUUC